rnacentral:rRNA from 1 species
AUUCUCAGUAACACGUGGCAGCGGGUGCAGAAUCUUCAUGUUCUCCUUGCACACACCGAAUGCUCAGUAACACGUGGAUAACCUACCCUUAGGACUGGGAUAACCUUGGGAAACUGAGGAUAAUACCGGAUGGGCAAUUUUUCCUGUAAUGGUUUUUUGUUUAAAUGUUUUUUUCGCCUAAGGAUGGGUCUGCGGCCGAUUAGGUAGUUGGUUAGGUAAUGGCUUACCAAGCCGUUGAUCGGUACGGGUUGUGAGAGCAAGAGCCCGGAGAUGGAACCUGAGACAAGGUUCCAGGCCCUACGGGGUGCAGCAGGCGCGAAACCUCCGCAAUGUGAGAAAUCGCGACGGGGGGAUCCCAAGUGCCAUUCUUAACGGGAUGGUUUUUCAUUAGUGUAAAGAGCUUUUGGAAUAAGAGCUGGGCAAGACCGGUGCCAGCCGCCGCGGUAACACCGGCAGCUCUAGUGGUAACAAUUUUUAUUGGGCCUAAAGCGUCCGUAGCCGGUUUAAUAAGUCUCUGGUGAAAUCCUGUAGCUUAACUGUGGGAAUUGCUAGAGAUACUAUUAGACUUGAGACCGGGAGAGGUUAGAGGUACUCCCAGGGUAGAGGUGAAAUUCUGUAAUCCUGGGAGGACCGCCUGUUGCGAAGGCGUCUAACUGGAACGGUUCUGACGGUGAGGGACGAGAGUUAGGGGCGCGAACCGGAUUAGAUACCCGGGUAGUCCUAACUGUAAACGAUGCGGACUUGGUGUUGGGGUGGCUUUGAGCUGCUCCAGUGCCGAAGGGAAGCUGUUAAGUCCGCCGCCUGGGAAGUACGGUCGCAAGACUAAAACUUAAAGGAAUUGGCGGGGGAGCACCGCAACGGGAGGAACGUGCGGUUUAAUUGGAUUCAACACCGGAAAACUCACCAGCAGCGACUAUUACAUGAAAGUCAGGCCGAUGACCUUACUAGAUUUUUAGAGAGGUGGUGCAUGGCCGUCGUCAGUUCGUACCGUAAGGCGUUCUCUUAAGUGAGAUAAUGGACGAGACCCUCACCAAUAAUUGCUACUGCGUCGUCCGCGGCGUAGGCACAUUAUUGGGACCGCUGGCGCUAAGUCAGAGGAAGGAGAGGUCAACGGUAGGUCAGUAUGCCCCGAAUCUGCUGGGCUACACGCGGGCUACAAUGGCUGAGACAAUGGGUUCCGACACCGAAAGGUGGAGGUAAUCCUCUAAACUUAGUCGUAGUUCGGAUUGAGGACUGUAACUCGUUCUCAUGAAGCUGGAAUGCGUAGUAAUCGCGUAUCACUAUUGCGCGGUGAAUACGUCCCUGCUCCUUGCACACACCGA